GUCCAACAGGGAAAGCUCUCCCUGGGCACAGAUGGAGCUCUCCUCAUGGAUAUCUUCUCUUUCUUCACUUUCUGAACAGCCCUGCACUCACAGCUUGCCACUUCAGUUGUAGAAAUCUGAAAUGCACGUUUGGAAAUCUGAAAUAGUUGCUCUGCAAAGAAUAUUUUCCAUGGAACGGUCUACAAGUGAGGCUCCAAUCACAUUCUAAAAAGUAGAAAGCUGUAACUGGAAAUAUAUCUGGUCCCUCCAGCCAGCCUGGAAGAGCACUUGGUGGGGAGGAUUGGGUCCUGAGGAAGCAGCAGUGAGAUGUAAACCCACAAGUCUGAUCCACAGCUCCCUGCUGCUGUCCUCACUGAAGAGUGAAAGCUGCUGGAAUUCAGAAGUUGCCCUUCCUUCUCCUCUAGAAGAUAUGAUUUCCAGGAAAGUGCUGCUGGGAUCUCUUGUCUGCCUGGGUGGUGUUGCUGCAGUUAUCUGGACUGUAGCUAGGAGUGGAAAAGUGCACUACCUGCCUUACUACCUUCCCUGCCCUGAAAUCUUCUCCAUGAAACUCCAAUAUACAGAAGAGAAGCUAAUCCAGCUUUUCC
rnacentral:lncRNA from 1 species